rnacentral:rRNA from 1 species
UACGUAGGGGGCUAGCGUUGUCCGGAAUCAUUGGGCGUAAAGCGCGUUGUAGGCGGUUCGGUAAGUCCGCUGUGAAAGUCGAGGGCUCAACCCUGAAAGCCGGGUGGAUACUGUCGGGCUAGAGUACGGAAGAGGCGAGUGGAAUUCCUGGUGUAGCGGUGAAAUGCGCAGAUAUCAGGAGGAACACCAAUUGCGAAGCAGCUCGCUGGGACGUUACUGACGCUGAGACGCGAAAGCGUGGGGAGCAAACGGG